AGUGCCUCUAACGCCGGGCACCCAGAACUGCCUGGAACGUAGCGGUAGAACUUCUGCACUGAUUUCCAAACAGCUCUCAGAAAUCCUGCUCAGUACACUGGAAUCAUAGCUGCCAAAGGCUUCCUGAAGCCACGGCUUCUAACCAAUCAUUUGGAAGAAGAAGGAAACUAAGGCGCAGAUGUUCGGUGCAGGGGACAGCACCCCACGGGCAGUGUUGCAAAUAGCCACACAAGCAAAAACAGCCAAACAAAGCCCAGAAACGGCUUCUAAAGGGUGCGGCCAACGCUGACUCCAGCCUUGGGGACACACUGAUGUCAGGAAA
rnacentral:lncRNA from 1 species